CAGUUACAUUUGAAUUUCUAAUAAACAUUGAAUAGCUCUUUAGUAUCAGUAUGGGUCCCAUGCAAUAUUUGGGACAUACUUUUACUAAAAAACUAUUUGUUGUUUAUCUGAAAUUCAAAUUUCACCAGUUUAUCUG
ensembl:miRNA